rnacentral:rRNA from 1 species
UACGAAGGUGUCUAACGUUGUCCGGAAUAACUGGGCGUAAAGGGCGCGUAGGCGGUCAGGUAAGUCAGAUGUGAAAGCUCUGGGCUCAACCCAGGAAUUGCAUUUGAAACUGCCAGACUCGAGUUCGGUAGAGGAGGGCGGAAUUCCAGGUGUAGCGGUGAAAUGCGUAGAUAUCUGGAGGAACACCCGUGGCGAAGGCGGCUCUCUGGUCCGAUACUGACGCUGAGGCGCGAAAGCUAGGGUAGCAAACAGG